GCUUGAGCAAAGAUGUUACAAGGAUUUACGGAAAGAGAACUUUGGAUCUGUAAAGGUUGUGGCCUGCAUCUCUAAGAAAUUCUUAUGGUCAUGUAAGGAGCAGAAGCCAUUAUUUGCCAGUAGUUUAUUAGGGAUUGUUCGGACUCUUUUGGAGCAAACUCGACAGGACGAAAUGCGGAUUCUGGCUUGCAGUAUUCUUGUUGAUUUUAUUAAAUGGUCAGAUGGAUAGUACAUGCAUGUUCAACUUAGGAGGUCUUAUUCCUAAACUUUGUCAAUUGGCUCAAGAAGUGGGAGAUGAUGAAAGAGCUCUACGCCUACGUUCAGCUGGAAUGCAAACUCUCGCAAACGUGGUACAGUUUAUUUACCUAGUGUAUUACUUUGUGAAUGCACAGACUUAAUGCACAUUCCUGCUGGAAUGCAAGCUCUCUAUAACAUGGUACAGUUUAUUUACCUAGCUUUGUAAUGCACAUUUAGAUACACAUACAAUCAGACUUAAUGCAAGUUAAUCUUUA